rnacentral:other from 1 species
CAUUCUCUGGAAUGCCCGACGGUUGCAACUCAACCCCGGCCAACCAAAUUUCAAACCGUCCCCAGGCUCGAUCGUGGUGUGCCAGCCCGCCCAUGAGCGGGACGCCUGAAGCGGUAUCCCGGGGCAUUGUCGAUAUGUGCGGCCGGACAGAGGAGAUCGUCGGCAUUCCGGAGAUGAA